rnacentral:rRNA from 1 species
GAUUUCUGGUCCUUCGCCUCUAGCCGGCCACGGUUUCGUGUGUGAGUGCUUGGAGUCGAGGUCCAUCCUUCCAUUGGUCUCUUCCUCUGUUCUUCAUUGGAUGGAGGAUUGCUUAGGCUAUGGAUCGUUUACUUUGAACAAAUUAGAGUGUUUCAAGCAGGCUCAAUGCUAUGAAUACAUUAGCAUGGAAUAAUAAUUUAGGACUUCGGUUCUAUUUUGUUGGUUUCUAGGACUGAAGUAAUGAUUGAUAGGGAUAGUUGGGGGUGCUAGUAUUCAGCGGCCAGAGGUGAAAUUCUUGGAUUCGCUGAAGACUAACUGAUGCGAAAGCAUU